rnacentral:rRNA from 1 species
AGCGAACGUUCGCGGCGGGCCUAACACAUGCAAGUCGAACGCGAAAGGGAUUCGUCCCCGGUAGCGUGGCGUCCGGGUGAGUAACACGUAGGAAACCUUCCCUCGAGCGGGGGAUAACGUCCCGAAAGGGACGCUAAUACCGCAUAUGCCCACGUUGACUUCGGUCGAUGAGGGGAAAGCUGGCCUCUGUAUACAAGCUAGCACUCGAGAAUGGUCCUGCGGCGCAUCAGCUAGUUGGUGGGGUAACGGCCUACCAAGGCGAAGACGCGUAGCUGGUCUGAGAGGAUGAUCAGCCACACUGGCACUGAAACACGGGCCAGACUCCUACGGGAGGCAGCAGUGGGGAAUAUUGGACAAUGGGCGCAAGCCUGAUCCAGCCACGCCGCGUGAGUGAUGAAGGCCUUCGGGUUGUAAAGCUCUGUGGGUAGGGACGAAAACGGUCCGGAAGAAACGACGGAUCCUUGACGGUACCUACUUAGCAAGCACCGGCUAACUCUGUGCCAGCCGCCGCGGUAAAAC